rnacentral:rRNA from 1 species
GAUCCUGGCUCAGAGCGACGUUUGCGGCGGGCUUAACACAUGCAAGUCGAACGGGCUGUUCCUUCGGGGGCAGUCAGUGGCGCACGGGUGCGUAACACGUAGGUAAUCAACCCUCUGGUUGGGGAUAACACUUCGAAAGGAGUGCUAAUACCCGGUAUGGCGCAGCGGUCUUCGGAUCGCGGCGAGAAAGACCCGCAAGGGUUGCCAGAGGACGAGCCUGCGGCCCAUCAGCUAGUUGGCGAGGUAACGGCUCACCAAGGCGAAGACGGGUAGCUGGUCUGAGAGGAUGAUCAGCCACACUGGAACUGAGACACGGCCCAGACUCCUACGGGAGGCAGCAGUGGGGAAUUUUGGACAAUGGGCGCAAGCCUGAUCCAGCAAUGCCGCGUGCAGGAAGAAGGCCUUCGGGUUGUAAACUGCUUUUGUACGGAACGAAACGGUCCGGGUUAAUACCCUGGGCUAAUGACGGUACCGUAAGAAUAAGCACCGGCUAACUACGUG